rnacentral:rRNA from 1 species
GCGGACCUCUUCGGAGUCCCUAGCAUCAAAUCAUAUCCAUAACACCUGUGAACUGUAAGGCUGUCUUGAAAACGAAAGUGAUUAGAGCGCCUGCCCAUUUUAUACAAACAUUAAAGUAACAAACGUAGUCUUAUUAUAAUCUAAUAAAACUUUCAACAACGGAUCUCUUGGCUCUCGCAUCGAUGAAGAACGCAGCGAAAUGCGAUAGGUAAUGUGAAUUGCAGAAUUCAGUGAAUCAUCGAAUCUUUGAACGCACCUUGCGCUCUUUGGUAUUCCGAAGAGCAUGCCUGUUUGAGUGUCAUGAAAAUAUCAACCUUGACUUGGGUUUAGUGCUCUUGUCUUGGCUUGGAUUUGGCUGUUUGCCGCUCGAAAGAGUCGGCUCAGCUUAAAAGUAUUAGCUGGAUCUGUCUUUGAGACUUGGUUUGACUUGGCGUAAUAAGUUAUUUCGCUGAGGACAAUCUUCGGAUUGGCCGAGUUUCUGGGACGUUUGUCCGCUUUCUAAUACAAGUUCUAGCUUGCUAGACAUGACUUUUUUAUUAUCUGGCCUCAAAUCAGGUAGGACUACCCGCUGAACUUAAGCAUAUCAAUA